rnacentral:misc_RNA from 1 species
UGGCCUUGACAUGUCGCGAAUCCUGCAGAGAUGCGGGAGUGCCUUCGGGAAUGCGAACACAGGUGCUGCAUGGCUGUCGUCAGCUCGUGUCGUGAGAUGUUGGGUUAAGUCCCGCAACGAGCGCAACCCUUGUCCUUAGUUGCCAGCACGUAAAGGUGGGAACUCUAAGGAGACUGCCGGUGACAAACCGGAGGAAGGUGGGGAUGACGUUCGUCUGAC